rnacentral:rRNA from 1 species
UACGUAGGGUGCAAGCGUUGUCCGGAAUUAUUGGGCGUAAAGAGCUCGUAGGCGGUCUGUCGCGUCUGCUGUGAAAACUCAGGGCUUAACCCUGAGCUUGCAGUGGGUACGGGCAGACUAGAGUCCGGAAGAGGCGAGUGGAACUCCUGGUGUAGCGGUGGAAUGCGCAGAUAUCAGGAGGAACACCGGUGGCGAAGGCGGGUCUCUGGGCAGUAACUGACGCUGGAGGAG